rnacentral:rRNA from 1 species
CGGGGGGGGCAAGCGUUGUUCGGAAUUACUGGGCGUAAAGGGCGCGUAGGCGGCCGACUAAGUCGGAUGUGAAAUCCCCAGGCUCAACUUGGGAACUGCAUCCGAUACUGGACGGCUUGAAUCCGGGAGAGGGAUGCAGAAUUCCAGGUGUAGCGGUGAAAUGCGUAGAUAUCUGGAGGAAUACCGGUGGCGAAGGCGGCAUCCUGGACCGGCAUUGACGCUGAUGUGCGAAAGCUAGGGGAGCAAACGGGAUUAGAUACCCCGGUAGUCCUAGCCCUAAACGAUGAAUGCUUGGUGUGACGGGUAUCGAUCCCUGUCGUGCCGAAGCUAACGCAUUAAGCAUUCCGCCUGGGGAGUACGGUCGCAAGGCUG